AGAGUUUGAUCAUGGCUCAGAAUCAACGCUGGCGGCGUGCCUAACACAUGCAAGUCGAACGCGAAAGGGGCUUCGGCCCUGAGUAGAGUGGCGAACGGGUGAGUAACACGUGGGUGAUCUACCUUCGAGUGGGGGAUAACGUUCCGAAAGGAACGCUAAUACCGCAUGACGUUCUGGGUUUAAAGACCUGGAAACCAAAGCCGGGGACCGCAAGGCCUGGCGCUUGAAGAGGAGCCCGCGUCCGAUUAGCUAGUUGGCGGGGUAAUGGCCCACCAAGGCGACGAUCGGUAGCCGGCCUGAGAGGGCGGACGGCCACACUGGAACUGAGACACGGUCCAGACUCCUACGGGAGGCAGCAGUGGGGAAUUGUUCACAAUGGGCGCAAGCCUGAUGACGCAACGCCGCGUGGGGGAUGAAGGUCUUCGGAUUGUAAACCCUGUCGAACGGGACGAAAGACCCUGGAGCUAAUCAUCCAGGGAGUGACGGUACCGUUAAA
rnacentral:rRNA from 1 species